UAUGUCUCUGUCAGUACAAAUACCUACGGUACACAAACGAUGAAACGUGAAGUUACGGUCUUCUAGAAAUCAUAAUUUUUUGGGAUUUUUAUUUAAAAAUUAACAGGCUAGCUAUUGCUCAGUAUAAGGAAAAAAUUUAUUGCACCCCAAUUUUUUUAUAAAAAACUUUCGCUCUGCUUUUGCUUCUGCACCGCUAGGGGGACUUUUUAAAAACAACAAUGCUGUGACUGAUUGUACUGUCUACAGUGUACUGCCAUGUUAAGUGAUUAUUUGUGAUUAUUAGCCCAAAGGAAAUAGAGCCUGCAAGUUGGACAUGUCAUGGGAGCAGUAACUGGAGCUGCCAAAAUUGGUUUCGGGAUAGCCGGACAAGGUCCAGGGCAGGCAACGAUGAACUCUCCGCCGGAAUGCUCCAUCACAAGUUUCGCUUAGCGGUCAUCUAAACACAGAUUUAUAUGUGAUGUAACGUACCCUAUCCAGGUUCAAGUUCGAGAUUUUAGAAGCAGUUUAACGAAUAUCCAGCAGCCUCAUAUAAAUGCAGAUUUCCCACUUCCCAUAUGCAAAUUACUUGAUCUGGAUGAGAUGACUGAUGCAAUGUAACAGAAAAAUGUAACAGAAAAAAGAUUGGAAAUCCCUGUGUUACCAAGCUAUAUAGUUCUUGAAUUACAAACCGAGUGUGGUCUGUGUGGAUGAUUUUUGGGACUCCUGCUAAUAUUAAAAAACCAUCUGGUGUGUCAUUUAUUAAGCUGAUGGUUGGAAGUUGGAACACCAUGUUUGAGGUUUCUCAAGCAAAGGGACACUUAAUCUAUUGCCCAUCUUUAUUCUGGUCGAAAACACUUCGUCGGGCUUUGGUCUCGUGUCCAGAAAAAUCGAAAGUUUACUGCUCGUAACGAUGCUAUGCCUGCCAUACACAUCUCCAGAAAUAGCAGCUGCCCUGGCCCUUGCUGGAACUUAAUUUAGAUUGUGUCCCGCGGACUUCGAAACUUGAAUAAGAAUUUUCAUUUAACUUUUAAAAGUCAACAGAUGCUAACCCGAUGCCACCCGUUUGCGGAUAAGGGGCCUGCUCGUGGAUUCGAUCCACGCCAGGAAAUCUAUCAAGCCCCAGGGGAUCCCACCAAAGUUACUGUUGACGUAGAUCCCAAGUCUAGCUGCGUCUUCAAUUGCUGGAGAACCGAGAGCCUUUAAGCCAUGGAGUGGCUAGAUCUAUAGAGAAGAUCUAUAGAAAAGAUCUAUAGAUAAGAUCUAUAGAUAAGAUCUAUAGAUAAGAUCUAUAGAGAAGAUGUUAAUUUGGCAAUGGCAAAAAAGAAAGUGGGUGGAAAGUGCACCACAGAUCACACUUCAGCAGCUGGGCCGUGGCUAAGGUCAAGGAAAGGCUCAACAUCAGCCUUACAUUUACGACAGUUUUUAUCCAAACCUAUCCUAUCAAUACCCAAACUACUAUCCAAUCUCUGAUAGCCGGACCCCAAAUUUAGCUUAUGACAAACGCUUUUUAUUCGGUUCUUUACCAACAACAACAACUACGACGACAACCACAACAACCACGACAUGCACUGUAUCGACCGCUGCAACCUGUAAUACUACUGGUCGAAAAAAAAGAGCUCUUGAAGAGGACGAGGAAAAUAUUGAACCUUCUCCUGUAAACGAAGUUGAAGCCACAAUUGUUUCCGAGAUGCCAUAUGUAAUCAGGAAAGAACGUAAACCUGAUCCUCAGCUUGCAAACUGGCGUCCUGAUUUUCCAUCAUACGAACUUCGGUCCACAAUCGGCCAACGUCCUUUCUCUAACAACUACAAUCCAUACUUUCGUCGGCCGAUGAUUGUAGGCGAUCCAAAAUAUUUCCUGUAUUAUGGUUACACGACAACAACUACUUCUACAGUAACUACUACAUCUCGGUCAACUCCGAUUUGCUCUCAAGCAAGUAGUUUUAACUCUUGUUAAGCGCUUUUCAAAUCUACGGACAAGCGAGAAGUUUCUAUUAUUCGCAUAUUAACCGAUGUCCAUGAACUAAGGUGUAAGGUACCGAAGUUUAAGGCGAUAAAUAAUUAAUAAUGAAUUAAUUGUAAAGGAAUGAAUAACAUGUUCUUGAGAUUCCUUGGAAAUAAACAGACCAAUGCUGUCAUCAA
rnacentral:lncRNA from 1 species